rnacentral:rRNA from 1 species
GGCUUAACACAUGCAAGUCGAACGGUAACAGGAGAGAGCUUGCUUUCUUGCUGACGAGUGGCGGACGGGUGAGUAAUGCUUGGGAAUCUGGCUUAUGGAGGGGGAUAACGACGGGAAACUGUCGCUAAUACCGCGUAGAGUCGAGAGACGAAAGUGCGGGACCGCAAGGCCGCAUGCCAUAGGAUGAGCCCAAGUGGGAUUAGGUAGUUGGUGGGGUAAUGGCCUACCAAGCCGACGAUCUCUAGCUGGUCUGAGAGGAUGACCAGCCACACCGGGACUGAGACACGGCCCGGACUCCUACGGGAGGCAGCAGUGGGGAAUAUUGCGCAAUGGGGGCAACCCUGACGCAGCCAUGCCGCGUGAAUGAAGAAGGCCUUCGGGUUGUAAAGUUCUUUCGGUGACGAGGAAGGCGUGAUGUUUAAUAGGCAUCACGAUUGAC